ensembl:lncRNA
ACCUGUGCUAUAAAGGGAAGGAGAAAAAUAAACGGGCACUCUCGGUCUCUCUGGGAGCCCUCCCGACUCUAUUUCUGUGUCUUUCUUUUUCCUCAUCCUCACUCCCCCAUUCAGGUGCUGUUCGACAAGUGACGGCGGACUCCAUCAGCUGUCAUCCUACCUGGCCACCUGUGGUGACUUUGUACCCCUCCAUGGGCUUUCUGUCUUUGCCCAGGUGAAAUCCAGAGUGCGCAGUGAGGUAAAGCUGAGCUCCUCAACACAUCCCCACACCGUGGAGACAGUGAAACAGCUUCGCACGUGUUCCCGCUCCUCUGGGCUUGAUCUGCUCAUGAGAUGGUUAAUGAACAUGCUCUUUGAUUCUGAGCUACAGUUUGACAAGAUAUAAAAACCACAGCAAAACAGGCAGCUAGGGCAGGUGCUGUCCCCGGCCAAAGCCAGGCCAUCUCAGAGCAGACAGAACACAGGAUAACAGCUAUGAAGUACAGCAUCUUUUCAUUGCCACCUCUUCACAGGCUGCCUGGAGUUGAGGAGCUCACCCAGGCCGGGCCCUCUCUGACCAGCAUCUGAACAGGAUCCUGAGCCCUCUAUCCAGAGAUCCCUCGGCCUCAGGAGUCUCAGUCCCCCACAGCCCAGUUCACAGCCAGUGCUGUGGUCGAGGGAGUGCUUGACAUGGGGUUGUCUGACCUGACUACUGCACAACCCGAGCAGAGUUUGAGAAGCCUCUCGUGUUGGCUGUCCUGGCCUCCCUGGGCCCAUAGAUGAGCUGAGGACCAUCACAGCUGCUCCAGGAAGGUGGAGAAUGUAGGAAGAUGGAUAUGAAGAAAUGGCGUAAAACUCAGCAAAAGAAAGAGGUCUCACUGUGCUGCCCACGCUGGUCUUGAACUCUUGCGCUCAAGUGAUUCUCCUGCCAGACAUGCCUGGCUUCAUGGAAUAAUCUGGAAGCCUGAAGCACCACGACGUUGUGGCUGGAGCUGCCAUUCCGAGAGCCAAGAACCAGAGCCUGGAGCCAGUCUGCCCAGAGGAGAAGAUGCCCAGCCCCAGGUA